CUCAUGUAGACCUCCUCCACAUUGGUCUCUUGAUUUUAUUGGGGGCACAACCUUCCAUCAAUCCACCCACUACGAAGCUCUCUGGCCAUCCAGCCAGCACUGAAUGUGACUUGCCAGAUGGCAUAUAGUUUUGUUUGUUUGUUUGUUUGUUUGUUUGGGACAGGGUCUCACUUGCCACUUAGGCUGGAGUGCAGUGGCCCGAUUACUGCUGACAGCAGCCUUGACCUUCUGGGCUCAAGAGAUCCUCCAGAUUCAGCCUCCCAAAUAGCUGGGACUACAGGCGCACACUGCCAUGCCUGAGUAAUUUUUGUAUUUUUUGUAGAUAGGGGGUUUUGCCAUGUUGCCCAGGCUGGUCUCCAACUCCUGGGCUCAAGAGAUCCACCCACUUCAGCCUCUCAAAGUGCUGGGAUUACAGGCAUGAGCCACUGUGCCCAGCCUGCAUGUAGUUUUAAAUCUUCUCUCCCCACCCUCUCUGUAGGUUAAGCAGCCUGGAAGCACCACUUAAGUGGACCUCGGUAACAACUGGAGGGAAGGUCACUAGUGGCCUCUGCUACUGUAAGAAAGAAAUCAGAACCAAGAUUUCAUGCCGCUCAGGAGUUCCUCGGUAAUAUUGGAGCCAUGCUGGAUUGAGAUUCUGAGAAAAGUAAAUGCAAGCUGACCAAGUGUCAUAGGACAUUGACUCUUCCAUCCUAUUCUCCUCUAAACCUCCAAGGAUGGUGGAUGAGCAUCUCAAGGACAGUGGAUGACCUUCUCAUGUGUAUUAGUCUGUUUUCACACUGCUGAUAAAGACAUACCCGAGAAUGGGCAAUUUACAAAAGAAAGAGGCCUAUUGGACUUACAGUUCCACAUGGCUGGGGAGGCAGGCAAGUCACAUCCUACGUGGGUGGCAGCAGGCAAAGAGAGGGCUUGCACAGGGGAACUCCCAUUUUUAAAAUCAUCAGAUCUCAUGAGACCCAUUCCUUAUCAUGAGAACAGCAGGGGAAAGACCCGCCCCCAUGAUUCAAUCAUCUCCCACCAGGUCCCUCCCAUAACAUGUAGGAAUUAUGGGAGCUACAUGAUGAGAUUUGGGUGGGGACACAGAGACAAACCAUAUCAUCAUGUAU
rnacentral:lncRNA from 1 species